AAGAAUAAGCAAACUGAUGAAAAAUCGCUGUAGUGCAAAAGCAAAAACUAAGAACAAAAACAAAUUGUAAACGAACAUUGAAUCUUAUUUAAUUUUAAGCCAAGUUUUGCAGCAGACGAACAAAAAGACAAUUCUCAAAUACAUGAACAUUAACUACCACAAAACAACAACAACAACAACAACAACAACAACAACAAGAACAGCAAUGCCACAACAAAUACAAAAAUAUACGAGUACAUACAUAAUACUACAAUUAUUUGAUCUUAAAGCAAAAGAAAACCCAGAAUACCAAAACCGAAAAAACAAAUAAAUGAAAAACUUAAACUUAUACACAAAAGAAACUCGAACGAAAACCUUGUUUUAUUUAAGAGCAAACUUCGAUUCCUUCGAUUUCAACUCACUUUACUCACUCUGCCUAUACCUUUAUCAUAUUUACAGUUAGCAACUACAACAACAACAACAACAACAACAACAACAGCUACAACAACAACAACAUUUAAACAACAACUAAAGAUAGAGUUCAGUUAGUGGCCGCAUUACAACAGCAACAACAACAGCACCACAGUCACCAAGCCCCCAAAAAUAUAUCUACAUAUAGAAAAAACCUCCUAAAAACCACCAAAAACCAAUCCAACAACAGUAACAACCACCUCCAUCACAACUACAACAACAACAACAACAACAAAACCAGAACAAGAACAAUAACAAUAACAAUUCUAAGAAUUAAUUAAGUCGCGAGCCAAUUGAUUGUCCUUUAUUAAAUUCUAUUUUGUUUCGUAUGUUUGUAUAAUAGUUUGCCAAUUUGUUGCUCUUGGAUACUACUCAGUUAAGCCUCACUUCUGUUUCCUCCUGCAUGCGGUAAGUAAUUACGAACCAGCAAUUACGAACCAUUUCAUUGCAUACCACACGAACCAAAGAAAAAAAUCGAAAAACUCUCGAUCAGGAAUGUUAAACAGAUCACUGAAAGGAAGGGUGGUGGUGCCUUGGAGUCAAACUUUCGAGCAGUUUUUACAUUUCUGCCUAUAUGUAAUGCAGCCUAAAAAUCUAAACUUCGGGUUCUAUUUGUUCAUAUGGUUUAGCCAAUGCAUAACCAAUCCAAGUCAUACAAUGUUAUUCAAUAUUUUACUCUCUAUAUUUCAACCGUGAAUCGUUGGAAAAAUUAAAUAAAGUUCCAUAAUGAAGCGAGCGUAAUAAUCUAAUUUAGCAUCGAACCAUUAGCUGCUGGUAGUGGGCAUGCAAUACAAUACAUUAAUUAAAUCCAGCCAUUCGACAAACCAUCUAGUGAUUUCAAAUGAACACAGCACAGACUUCGCCCUUUCAUGAAUCUGGUCUUUGGUCUUUUAGAUGUUUGAUAAUUUCGGCGUAAAUCGACUCGACAAAUGUUUGAACUGUUUGUUUUGUGCCCCAUCUUCCCCUAAUCGUUUUCUGGUUGAAUGAUUUUUUUGAAUUGCAUUUAGCAUUGUUUAAUUAAAAGGCCUGACCGCCUGGCCGCAUGCCUGCCGGCCGUGCCUCUCUUCCGACCCACCUAAUCUGAGGGAAAACUUUUUUAAGCCCACCCCGCUACGAUUGGAAGCAGCAGCAUUACCGGAAAGAAGGGUCAAUCGUUGGUUCAGAUAAUCAUUUAUCAGCCGACUUGGGGCACAUGCGUGCAGCCAAUCCGGCAGAGCCACCCAUCUGAACAAGGCUGAAGCAGUCAUCUAAAUGCCAAAGCCAUGUCUUUGGCCGUGGCUCUCUGUUUGUGGCUCAAUAAAUUAUUUACUUAAGCUCAACCCUAUGCAAAGUAGCAGAUUGUCCAUUGGUAAUCCUUUGUCUAUUAUUUCAUUUCGAAUCCAGACAGGAGAACGAGAAACCAAACGACUUACACAAAUAUUCCAUUUAAAAUGCAUUGCGUUUGGCUUUGUUCAUCUCGGGUCUUAGCCCAGACAGUUUUCCUUCCAUUGUCAUUCCGUUGAGCCCGUUGUUUUCCCUUUUUCCCCCUUUCAAUGGGUUAAGCCUGUAUUUACCUAUGCUCCAUUUAUUCUGUUUCAGCAGAGACCACAAUGCUGUACCAGUAGAGAGAUAAAUGUACAUACAUAAAUGCACUGCUGUUUCUUUAUUUAUCUGCCAGGACUAAUAUUAUUUCAGUUAUUUUUUGCUGUCUUGUAGUUGGCGUUAAAUUGCACUUCACAUGUCCGGACCAUGCCUGUGGCCGGACUGAUUGAUUGAUUGCAGUGGCUGGCGCUCGGGCAGCCAUGACAAAUGCCAAACUGUUUGUCCACCCGAAUAUGCAGCAAAGUGAAAUAGUUCAAAUAAAUAAAUUGCACUUGCGCAAAAGUGUUUUUGGAUUGGCAGCAAAAUAUGUCUAAAAAAUGGCUAAAUAUUCGAGUUUUCGCCGUCAUAUACCUUCUGUCGCUUCAUGUAAUGCAUUUCUAGAACUCAUUUCCAAGAGCUUAUUGACUGAUAAUCUUCACAGUUACAUACAUAGACACACACACAUACACGUACACGUACACGUACACGUACACGUACAUGAAAGGUAAUGCCUGGAGGAGGGGUUGGAGAGAAAGGCUAAUAGAAGGAAGCACUCGAAAUGCAAGCAAAGGGACCAAAUAUGAGUUGCCACAUUAAGAUGAUUGAGAUUUUAUGAUUGUUUCGUUAAAGUUUCAUUUUGUUAGGGAUGACAUAACACAGAUUUAACAUAUAGCCUUGAUAUACGAGUGUGCGUGUGAGUCCUUGAACAUUUAUGGGAUAAACACUCGCUGGAAGCUUUGUUGGAAACAAAGUCCAAUUGUAAAUAACGACAGCCAAUGACCACAAAAUGUAAAUUAAAAUGUUGAAAAUCGUUUGUAAUCCUAAAAUUAAAGGACAUCCAAAAGUGUCUGCACAUGAUUAUAGCCAGCUUUGGGGGUUCAUUUGCUUUGUAUGUAUCAUUUAUUUUGUAUUUUUAUAAAUGCUUUGCAGGGAAGUGUGAAAAGUAUGCAAACAAUUGUAAAAUAAAACUCCCACAGAAGAAAUGAAAACACAUUAUAGGUACACAUAGGUAUAAAUAUAAGUGAAACAUACACGGAAAGAUGUUGAAAAUGAUUCUCUGUAAUUUGCUCAAUUCACUUUUCCAAGUGAUUUAUUCCCAUUUCUUAUCCAGUAUUUCCGUGCAUCACAAAUGUACUCAAUGUAUGUAGGUAUGUACUCCUAAGCCAAACACACACACACACACAUAAAGGCAUACAAAAUAAAUAUAAACCAAUACAAUAAAUGAGAAUUACACCAACCUAAAGGAAGAUGAAUAAAUGUGAGUAAUUAAGGUUAGAGUCAAUUGCCUCUCAAUUAUUUUAGAAAAGUGCACAAUAAUUAUUGGAUAUACAGAAAUACAUAUAUACAUAAUUACAUACAUUUAUGUAGUUGAUUUAGAUAGAACUACGCGUAGAUGUAACUGCACCAAAGAACACUUUUAUUUACAAUUCUGGUGUAAUUAUAGAACUAUAAUUUAUGAACUUAAGCAACUCGAAGUUCGGCCAAAAGCAUUUCACGAUGCGAGCCAACGCGGAUGAUCCUAAUGUCAAUUUCAAAGUAAAACUUAAGUAAUACUAAUAAUGAAUAUUAAUGAAUACAAAUACCUAGGCUAAGACAUCACACAAUUCAUGUGCAAAUCGAGUUACUUUAGCCCAGAAAAUGCCAAUUAGUUGCAUCGAUGUUUUCCAUAAAUGUCUGCCUCUGAGGCACAUGCAUACUUACCUGGGCGUUGGCAUACAUACUACACACACAUACAUACACAACAUAAAAAAAUUCGCUUUAAAGAGCCACGCCCUCCCAAAAAUACAUAUAUCACAGCGUUGUAUAAAAGCCAAACGAAGCAAUUUCAAAAGCGUGAUUUAGAUAUUUGUCACCACUACAUAAAAAUACAUGAUUCAAAUGUGAUUUUGCUAUAUACAUAUACAUAUACAUAUACAUAUACAUACAUACAUAAAUACAUAAUAAAGAUACAACAAAGUAAAAUAAAUUUAACUGUACUGUGUUAACUGCGAGACGGCUUGUGUUAGCGGUUUUAGGUUUUAGGGUUUUAGGGUUUUAGGGUUUUAGUUUGUGUAGCCAAAUGUUUGAGAAUGUAAGGUAGGCCGUUUAGGGUAGAGUAAUAGAAGAUACAAUACAUACACUACUACUGUCAAUGCCGCCAAAGCCUUGCUCCCUCUGUCUCGCUAAUUCUGCAUUUUAAUUGAACUGUUGUUUAGAAUUCAUUCCACUGACUAAAUGUAUAAAUGGAGUCCAAAUAAAAGCCACCGCCUCUAUUUCUAAAUAACUUAGAGAGAAUUGUGAACAAAUUGUGUCUAAACAUAGUGCAUAUAAAUAUAUAUACAUACUAUAUAUAUAUAUAUACAUAACUACAACUAUUAUUGCAACAACUACAACUAUAUACCAUAAAGCAUACAUAGGUACAUAUGUAUGUAUGAUGUGUGUAACGAUAGGAUAUACAAAAGAGGAGGCCGACAGUAUGCAGUGCAGAUAAGAAUGUAUGCUGCAUACAGCAAAAGCAUACACAGAGAGAGAAGGAGGAGUACAGCAUAUAUACAGAUAUUAUACAUACUUAUAAUAUACAAGCAUACCAACCGCAUGAAUACUCUUGAACUAUAUACAUACGUGUAGAUAUACAUAUACCAUAUACUAUGUAAUACCGAUAUGCUAAUCCUUUUGGACAACUUUUUCGAUGUUGCUACUUCGAACGAUGAACGAUGAACGAUGAACGAUCUUUAACCAAAGAACAAUUGAUAGCCAACAAUGUGUGAACAGAGUGUGGACGGACAUAGAGCAACAAUUAUAAGUAGUCGAAUUUGUAAAUUGUGGUGCAACCUGGUCAAGUAUAAAGCCAAAUUCACAAAGUAUUGAAAUCCGAGACGAACAGCAGUUGCAAAGCAAACCCCAUUUCCAAUCGCUCAGAUAUUCCCAUCUCGAAUUGUCUUGUUUUUUUUUCGUAGCCUGCUUGCCUGCACACACACACACACACACACACACACAGCUAUCUACUCGUAUAAUUUCCAAAAAACUACCCACCAGCUGCUCUUCCAGCAAGAUGCAAACCAAACUAUACAACAAAUCCCUUUCCAAGCAGAUAUCUUGUACGAGUCGAUAUCUACCAAUGAAUGCCAUCACUAUGAGAGAAUCUCUUCUAAACGCUGACUGCAGAAUACCACCACGUUAAAAUUAACUUAAAGUAAAAGUAAAUACGCUAAGGGAGGCCAGGCCAUCUCCACUCGAAUAUAUUUUGAAUGAAAUAUUGAGCGGCAGCAGGCCAGGACGCCGCCAGCCUCUGUAGUGCACCCUCUGUGUGGUGGAGGCUGAGGAUGAGACGGAGGCGGAGGCGGCUCCCAUCAGAAAAACAUACUUAGAAUGUACGAGUAAACAGUAAAUUGAAUAGCAUAUAAAGUAUAUUUUAUUAGUAGCGAAAUUGAACAGCAGUAACAGUAACAGUAAAGAAGGAGUAAAUGUUACGAAUUAAACAAAUUAAUAAUAAUUAUUGUAUUUAGCAGUAAGUGUCUAUGAAGGUCAUGUAAUCUAAUGCAUAAAAUGGCAAUUAAACCAACAAAAUGUUGUUAAGUUUUCCGCUUUAAGUGUCAAAUUAGCCAAAGAUUGUAAUUAUGAUAAAUGCUUAACGAAUAAUAAAUAAAUUAUUUAAAUGGGUGUUAAUAUAAAUGGAUACUUUAAAGGCGAAACCAUUUUAACUGUUGGCGCAUAAUUUUAAUUGUAAAGAAAUUAUUUAGUUAUACAACGUUUUGCUUUAACGAGAGAUUUUAUUUAUCUUUUAAUAAACUAAACAAUACGAUAAUAAUACAAGAAGCUAAGGCACAGAGAUGACUUUAAAAAAGAACAAAUAA